GAUGAACGCUAGCGGCAGGCUUAACACAUGCAAGUCGAGGGGCAGCACGUCUUCGGAUGGUGGCGACCGGCGCACGGGUGCGUAACGCGUAUACAAUCUACCUUUUACAGGGGCAUAGCCCGGGGAAACCCGGAUUAAUAUCCCAUGGUAUCAAGACAUGGCAUCAUGAUUUGAUUAAAGUUUCGGCGGUAAAAGAUGAGUAUGCGUCCUAUUAGCUAGAUGGUAAGGUAACGGCUUACCAUGGCUACGAUAGGUAGGGGUCCUGAGAGGGGGAUCCCCCACACUGGAACUGAGACACGGACCAGACUCCUACGGGAGGCAGCAGUGAGGAAUAUUGGACAAUGGGCGAGAGCCUGAUCCAGCCAUGCCGCGUGCAGGAAGACUGCCCUAUGGGUUGUAAACUGCUUUUAUACGGGAAGAAACACCUCCACGCGUGGAGGCUUGACGGUACCGUAUGAAUAAGGAUCGGCUAACUCCGUGCCAGCCGCCGCGGUAA
rnacentral:rRNA from 1 species